rnacentral:rRNA from 1 species
UACGGGGGGGGCAAGCGUUUGUUCGGAAUUACUGGGCGUAAAGGGCUCGUAGGCGGCCAACUAAGUCGGACGUGAAAUCCCCAGGCUCAACCUGGGAACUGCGUCCGAUACUGGAUGGCUUGAAUCCGGGAGAGGGAUGCAGAAUUCCAGGUGUAGCGGUGAAAUGCGUAGAUAUCUGGAGGAAUACCGGUGGCGAAGGCGGCAUCCUGGGCCGUAACUGACGCUGAGGAGCGAAAGCAUGGGGGAGCGAACAGG